UAACUACCAACUAGGGAUAUAUUGGUGUAUACUUGAUACAUAUAUGUAUUUUAUAAUUAAUAUUAUUUUACUUUUAAAAUGUGGUUCAAGAAACAAUUUAGUCGAUUUCUUAAAUAUCCUCAGUUUUAUACAAGGACUUUGUAUAGGACACAAUCAACACAAUAUAAUGUAGAUACAAUAACACAUAUUCCAGAACCCGAAUAUAAUAUUGAUUUUCUAUGUAAUCCAUGUAAUCGAGAUAUUAUUUUUAAUAAUAUAACAGCAAGGAAAAGUAUUGGAGAUAUUGAUAAAAUUCUUGAACUUUCAAAAAAUCCAGAUUUAAAGAAGUCUCUUUUGCAUGAGUUAAAUAAAAUACCAAAUCAGACAGAUCCAAGAGUAUUAUCUUAUGGCGAAGAACCACAAAUUUUAAAAGAAUGCGGGCAUAAUCCAGAAUUUGAUUUUGAACCACAAGAAUUUUCAACAUUAGUUACAAAUUUAAAGGCAUUAAAAAGUAAACAAUUGGGGCCCUUAAUAGGAACACGAGGUUACUUGUUCUUAGGAGAUCUAGCAGAAUUAGAAGAAGCAUUAGUUCAUUUUACAGUCAGAAAGUUAAUGAAACAUGGCUUUAAACUUGUUUCUGUACCUGAUAUUAUCCCUACUGAAGUUAUAGAAAGAUGUGGAUUGAUAAUAGAUGAUGGAAGACACCUUGUGUAUAAUUUAAGUCCUUUUUAUGGAGGGAACUAUAGCUUAUCUGGAACAGCAGAAAUGUCCUUAGCUUAUAAAGUAAUGAAUACUGUAUUUAGUUCAGAAGAUUUACCACUAAAAAUGGCUGCUGUAAGCAGGUGUUUUAGGGCUGAAAUAUCUAAUCUUAUACAUGAGAAAAGUAUAUACAGGGUUCAUCAAUUUACAAAAGUUGAAAUGUUUGUAUGUUCAAAACGUGAAGAGUCAGAAAAUCAAUUUCAAGAACUUCUGAAUAUUCAAGAAGAUUUAUUUUCUUCAUUAAAUUUAUAUUUUCGAAUAAUUGAUAUGCCAGCUCAUGAUUUAGGGUCUCCAGCAUAUAGGAAAGUAGACAUGGAAGGAUGGAUGCCUGGAAGAAAAUUACAUGGAGAAUUAUCUAGUUGUAGUAAUUGUACAGAUUAUCAAUCACGACGACUUCGUAUAAAAUAUAUGACAAAUAAGGGAGAAGUUUUACAUGUUCAUACUUUGAAUGGAACUGCAUGUGCUGUACCUCGCAUGUUGAUAGCACUUUGUGAAACACAUCAAACAAAACAUGCGCGUAUUCGAAUCCCUGAAAUUUUAAUACCUUAUAUGGCAGGAAAGACACUUAUUAAAAAACAACCAAUUGCUAACAUGAAACUCCAUAAAUACAAAUCACAAAUCUAAUAUGUAACUGUAACUGUACAUGCAACAUUUAAUCUUCUCUGAAAACAGUUAAAAACAAGAAAUUAAACAGGAUUCAUAAAAAAUUCAAAUAUUAAACACCACCUGACAAUAUAUUUUCUAGAAACUAAUACAAUAUUAUCAUACAAAGAAUGUGGGUUUGAAAAUUAUACAUACACAGGGAUAAAGAUCUUUUCUUCAUUAACUUGUUAUUCUGUAUAUAUUUUGCAGCGGUGUUAUAAAAAUGUAACACAAAAUAUUUUUUCUUAAAGUAAUACAAUACAAGUAAUACAAUAAAGACA